UACGUAGGAGGCAAGCGUUAUCCGGAAUGACUGGGCGUAAAGGGUGCGUAGGUGGUUUGAUAAGUUGGUAGCGUAAUUCCGAGGCUCAACCUCGGCGCUACUACCAAAACUGUCGGACUUGAGUGCAGGAGGGGCAAAUGGAAUUCCUAGUGUAGCGGUGGAAUGCGUAGAUAUUAGGAGGAACACCAGAGGCGAAGGCGGCUAACUGGACUGUAACUGACGCUGAGGCACGAAAGUGUGGGGAGCAAACAGG
rnacentral:rRNA from 1 species